rnacentral:rRNA from 1 species
GACGAACGCUGGCGGCGUGCCUAAUACAUGCAAGUUGAGCGAUGAAGAUUGGUGCUUGCACCAAUUUUAAGAGCAGCGAACGGGUGAGUAACGCGUGGGGAAUCUGCCUUUGAGCGUGGGACAACUUUGGGAAACGAUUGCUAAUACCGCAUAAUAACUUUAAACAUAAGUUUUAAGAUUGAAAGAUGCAAUUGCAUCACUCAAUGGUUAUCCCGCGUUGUAUUAGCUAGUUGGGUAGGGAAAGGCUCACCAAGGCGAUGAUACAUAACCGACCUGAGAGGGUGAUCGGCCAACUUGGGACUGGGACCAGGCCCAAAAUCCUACGGGAGGCAGCAGUAGGGAAUCUUCGGCAAUGGACGAAAGUCUGACCGAGCAACGCCGCGUGAGUGAAGGAGGUUUUCGGAUCGUAAAACUCUGUUGGUAGAGAAGAACGUUGGUGAGAGUGGAAAGCUCAUCAAGUGACGGUAACUACCCAGAAAGGGACGGCUAACUACGUG